UACGGAGGUUGCAAGCGUUGUUCGGAUUUACUGGGCGUAAAGGGAGCGCAGGCGGUUAACUCAGUCUAAAGUGAAAGUCCGGGGCUCAACCCGGAGUGCUUUGGAUACUGGUUGACUUGAGUAUGUGAGAGGAGAGCGGAAUUCCAGGUGUAGCGGUGAAAUGCGUAGAUAUCUGGAGGAACACCGGUGGCGAAAGCGGCUCUCUGGCACGAAACUGACGCUGAGGCUCGAAAGCAUGGGUAGCGAACGGGAUUAGAAACCCUAGUAGU
rnacentral:rRNA from 1 species